rnacentral:rRNA from 1 species
CCUACGGGAGGCAGCAGUGGGGAAUAUUGCACAAUGGAGGGAAGUCUGAUGCAGCCAUGCCGCGUGAAGGAAGACGGCUCUCGGAUUGUUAACCUCCGUUUGUACAAAGGUAAAACUAAAGUAGUUUAUUCAGCAGACACUGCUAACGACGUGCCAGUAGCCGCGGUAAUAGGCAGGUGCCAAGCGAUGUCCGGAGUUACUGGGUGUAAAGGGAGUGCAGGCGGGUAGAGAAGUCAGCGGUGAAAUCUACGAGCUUAACUUGGAAACUGCAGUUUAAACUGGUGAUCUAGAGAGAAGAUGAGGUAGGCGGAAUGUAGGGUGUAGCGGUGAAAUGCGUAGAGAUCCGACAGAACACCGAUUGCGAAGGCAGCCAACCAAUCUAUAUCUGACGUUGAGGCACGAAAGUGUGGGGAGCAAACAGGAUUAGAUACCCUUGUAGUC